GUUUCAGGGCGGAGUGAAAUUCUCCACCGGUGGUAAAGUCCACGAGCCGAAGCAGGUGGAUAACUGCAUGGCAAAAGCAUAAGCCGUAAGCCGUAAAGUUGUAUCUGCGUGUAAGGCCGAUUCGGUGUAAUUCCGAAACCGACGGUAUAGUCCGGAUGAAAGAAU
rnacentral:ncRNA from 1 species